UACGUAGGGGGCAAGCGUUGUCCGGAAUUAUUGGGCGUAAAGAGCUCGUAGGCGGUUUGUCGCGUCGAAUGUGAAAACCCGGGGCUCAACCCCGGGCCUGCAUUCGAUACGGGCAGACUAGAGUUCGGUAGGGGAGUCUGGAAUUCCUGGUGUAGCGGUGAAAUGCGCAGAUAUCAGGAGGAACACCGGUGGCGAAGGCGAGACUCUGGGCCGAUACUGACGCUGAGGAGCGAAAGCGUGGGGAGCAAACAGG
rnacentral:rRNA from 1 species